rnacentral:rRNA from 1 species
UUCGCCCUUAGAGUUUGAUCCUGGCUCAGGACGAACGCUGGCGGCGUGCUUAACACAUGCAAGUCGAGCGGGGAUGUUCGGAGUGCUUGCACACUGAACAUUUCAGCGGCGGACGGGUGAGUAACGCGUGAACAAUCUGUCCCAUACAGGGGGAUAACAGAUGGAAACAUCUGCUAAUACCGCAUAAGACCACGAAGCCACAUGGCUAUGGGGUAAAAGGAGCAAUCCGGUAUGGGGUGAGUUCGCGUCCGAUUAGCUGGUUGGUGAGGUAACGGCCCACCAAGGCGACGAUCGGUAGCCGACCUGAGAGGGUGAUCGGCCACACUGGAACUGAGAGACGGUCCAGACUCCUACGGGAGGCAGCAGUGGGGAAUAUUGGGCAAUGGGCGAAAGCCUGACCCAGCAACGCCGCGUGAGGGAAGAAGGUUUUCGGAUUGUAAACCUCUGUCCUCAGGGACGAAGGACGUGACGGUACCUGAGGAGGAAGCCCCGGCUAACUACGUGCCAGCAGCCGCGGUAAUACGUAGGGGGCGAGCGUUGUCCGGAAUGACUGGGCGUAAAGGGCGUGUAGGCGGCUUUUUAAGUCUGGAGUGAAAGCCCCUUUUUCAAGGAGGGGAGUGCUUUGGAGACUGGAGAGCUUGAGUGCGGAAGAGGUAAGUGGAAUUCCCAGUGUAGCGGUGAAAUGCGUAGAGAUUGGGAGGAACACCAGUGGCGAAGGCGACUUACUGGGCCGUAACUGACGCUGAGGCGCGAAAGCGUGGGGAGCGAACAGGAUUAGAUACCCUGGUAGUCCACGCUGUAAACGAUGAAUGCUAGGUGUAGCGGGUAUCGACCCCUGCUGUGCCGGAGUAAACACAAUAAGCAUUCCGCCUGGGGAGUACGGCCGCAAGGUUGAAACUCAAAGGAAUUGACGGGGGCCCGCACAAGCAGCGGAGCAUGUGGUUUAAUUCGAAGCAACGCGAAGAACCUUACCUAGACUUGACAUCUCCUGCAUUACUCUUAAUCGAGGAAGUCCCUUCGGGGCAGCGGAGACAGGUGGUGCAUGGUUGUCGUCAGCUCGUGUCGUGAGAUGUUGGGUUAAGUCCCGCAACGAGCGCAACCCUUAUCUUUAGUAGCCAGCAUUUAAGGUGGGGACUCUAGAGAGACUGCCAGGGAUAACCUGGAGGAAGGUGGGGAUGACGUCAAAUCAUCAUGCCCCUUAUGGGCAGGGCUACACACGUGCUACAAUGGCGUAAACAAAGGGAAGCGAUACUGCGAAGUUGAGCAAAUCCCAAAAAUAACGUCUCAGUUCAGAUUGUAGUCUGCAACUCGACUACAUGAAGCUGGAAUCGCUAGUAAUCGCGAAUCAGAAUGUCGCGGUGAAUACGUUCCCGGGUCUUGCACACACCGCCCGUCA